GACGAACGCUGGCGGCGUGCUUAACACAUGCAAGUCGAACGGAAAGGCCCUGCUUUUGUGGGGUGCUCGAGUGGCGAACGGGUGAGUAACACGUGAGUAACCUGCCCUUGACUUUGGGAUAACUUCAGGAAACUGGGGCUAAUACCGGAUAGGAGCUCCUGCUGCAUGGUGGGGGUUGGAAAGUUUCGGCGGUUGGGGAUGGACUCGCGGCUUAUCAGCUUGUUGGUGGGGUAGUGGCUUACCAAGGCUUUGACGGGUAGCCGGCCUGAGAGGGUGACCGGCCACAUUGGGACUGAGAUACGGCCCAGACUCCUACGGGAGGCAGCAGUGGGGAAUAUUGCACAAUGGGCGGAAGCCUGAUGCAGCAACGCCGCGUGCGGGAUGACGGCCUUCGGGUUGUAAACCGCUUUCGCCUGUGACGAAGCGUGAGUGACGGUAAUGGGUAAAGAAGCACCGGCUAACUACGUGCCAGCAGCCGCGGUGAUACGUAGGGUGCGAGCGUUGUCCGGAUUUAUUGGGUGUAAAGGGCUCGUAGGUGGUUGAUCGCGUCGGAAGUGUAAUCUUGGGGCUUAACCCUGAGCGUGCUUUCGAUACGGGUUGACUUGAGGAAGGUAGGGGAGAAUGGAAUUCCUGGUGGAGCGGUGGAAUGCGCAGAUAUCAGGAGGAACACCAGUGGCGAAGGCGGUUCUCUGGGCCUUUCCUGACGCUGAGGAGCGAAAGCGUGGGGAGCGAACAGGCUUAGAUACCCUGGUAGUCCACGCUGUAAAUGGUGGGUACUAGGUGUGGGGUCCAUUCCACGGGUUCCGUGCCGUAGCUAACGCUUUAAGUACCCCGCCUGGGGAGUACGGCCGCAAGGCUAAAACUCAAAGGAAUUGACGGGGCCCCGCACAAGCGGCGGAGCAUGCGGAUUAAUUCGAUGCAACGCGUAGAACCUUACCUGGGUUUGACAUGGAUCGGGAGUGCUCAGAGAUGGGUGUGCCUCUUUUGGGGUCGGUUCACAGGUGGUGCAUGGCUGUCGUCAGCUCGUGUCGUGAGAUGUUGGGUUAAGUCCCGCAACGAGCGCAACCCUUGUUCACUGUUGCCAGCACGUUAUGGUGGGGACUCAAUGGAGACCGCCGGGGUCAACUCGGAGGAAGGUGGGGAUGACGUCAAGUCAUCAUGCCCCUUAUGUCCAGGGCUUCACGCAUGCUACAAUGGCUGGUACAGAGAGUGGCGAGCCUGUGAGGGUGAGCGAAUCUCGGAAAGUCGGUCUCAGUUCGGAUUGGGGUCUGCAACUCGACCUCAUGAAGUCGGAGUCGCUAGUAAUCGCAGAUCAGCAACGCUGCGGUGAAUACGUUCCCGGGGCU
rnacentral:rRNA from 1 species